GACGGAGGGUGCAAACGUUGCUCGGAAUCACUGGGCAUAAAGCGCACGUAGGCGGCCAACUAAGUCAGACGUGAAAUCCCUCGGCUUAACCGGGGAACUGCGUCUGAUACUGGAUGGCUUGAAUUCGGGAGAGGGAUGCGGAAUUCCAGGUGUAGCGGUGAAAUGCGUAGAUAUCUGGAGGAACACCGGUGGCGAAGGCGGCAUCCUGGACCGGCAUUGACGCUGAGGAGCGAAAGCCAGGGGAGCAAACGGG
rnacentral:rRNA from 1 species